UACGAGGGGAGCUAGCGUUGUUCGGAAUCACUGGGCGUAAAGCGCACGUAGGCGGAUGUGUCAGUCAGGGGUGAAAUCCCGGAGCUCAACUUCGGAACUGCCUUUGAUACAGCACAUCUGGAGUCCGGAAGAGGUGGGUGGAAUUCCUAGUGUAGAGGUGAAAUUCGUAGAUAUUAGGAAGAACACCGGUGGCGAAGGCGGCCCACUGGUCCGGUACUGACGCUGAGGUGCGAAAGCGUGGGGAGCAAACAG
rnacentral:rRNA from 1 species